rnacentral:rRNA from 1 species
UACGAAGGUUGCGAGCGUUACUCGGAAUUACUGGGCGUAAAGGGUAGGUAGGUGGUUUGGCAAGUCUAUUGUGAAAGCUCCUGGCUUAACUGGGAGAGGCCAAUGGAUACUGCCAAGCUUGAGUAUAGGAGAGGUUACUGGAAUUCCCGGUGUAGCGGUGAAAUGCGCAGAUAUCGGGAGGAACACCAAUGGCGAAAGCAGGUAACUGGACUAUUACUGACGCUCAAGUGCGAAAGCUAGGGGAGCAAACAGG